rnacentral:rRNA from 1 species
UACAGAGGGGGCAAGCGUUGUUCGGAAUUACUGGGCGUAAAGGGCGCGUAGGCGGCCUUCUAAGUCGGACGUGAAAUCCCUCGGCUCAACCGGGGAACUGCGUCUGAUACUGGAAGGCUUGAGUAUGGGAGAGGGAUGUAGAAUUCCAGGUGUAGCGGUGAAAUGCGUAGAUAUCUGGAGGAAUACCGGUGGCGAAGGCGGCAUCCUGGACCAUUACUGACGCUGAGGCGCGAAAGCUAGGGGAGCAAACGGG